GAUGAACGCUGGCGGCGUGCCUAAUACAUGCAAGUCGAGCGAAUGGAUUAAGAGCUUGCUCUUAUGAAGUUAGCGGCGGACGGGUGAGUAACACGUGGGUAACCUGCCCAUAAGACUGGGAUAACUCCGGGAAACCGGGGCUAAUACCGGAUAACAUUUUGAACCGCAUGGUUCGAAAUUGAAAGGCGGCUUCGGCUGUCACUUAUGGAUGGACCCGCGUCGCAUUAGCUAGUUGGUGAGGUAACGGCUCACCAAGGUAACGACGCGUAGCCGACCGGAGAGGGUGAUCGGCCACACUGGGACUGAGACACGGCCCAGACUCCUACGGGAGGCAGCAGUAGGGAAUCUUCCGCAAUGGACGAAAGUCUGACGGAGCAACGCCGCGUGAGUGAUGAAGGCUUUCGGGUCGUAAAACUCUGUUGUUAGGGAAGAACAAGUGCUAGUUGAAUAAGCUGGCACCUUGACGGUACCUAACCAGAAAGCCACGGCUAACUACGUGCCAGCCGCCGCUGUAA
rnacentral:rRNA from 1 species